AUACGCUCCACAAAGCAUACUGAGACAAAGUGUUUGUUUAGGAGACAGGGGAUUUUUCACAGUAUUGUAAGGAAAUAAACAGAUUUCAGAGGUGUGUUCCCGCCUGGCCAAUCCCGAGGCUGUUGUGCAGCUCUGCCACCCCUCCAAGCCCAAUCGCAGCUCCGCAGCUCCGAAGGGAAACUCGUUUUGCUGUUUGUCUCGGCAGUGCUGCUGAUGAAUGGCUGCUUCAGGGGAAGAGAUCAAGCUGUGUGAUGAGCUACUCAAAAGUUCAUGGUGAUUUAGUUCACGUGCAGUUGUGUGAAGUUACCCUACAAUCAGAAGGCCUGAGUAUGAAGGUGCCAAACUGUACUACAAAGUCUUAUACAAACAACACUGAUAUUUUAAAGAACUGUUCUUCUCCUUUAAUGGAAACUCUAAAUCAGAA